CUGGGGGCGGGGGGGGUGUCCAUCAGCCCAGAUUGUGAGAGGGUACAGGCUAGGCUGAGGGACCCCACUGGUGCACG
rnacentral:pre_miRNA from 1 species